rnacentral:rRNA from 1 species
AUAUUGGACAAUGGGGGGAACCCUGAUCCAGCCAUGCCGCGGGUGUGAAGAAGGUCGUCGGAUUGUAAGGCACUUUAGGUUGGGCGGAAGAGUUGUAGGCUAAUACCUUGCAAUUUUGACGUUACCAAGAACAUAAGCACCGGCUCACUUCGUGCCCACACCCGCGGUAAUACGAAGGGGGCAAGCGUUAAUCGGAAUUACUGGGCGUAAAGCGCGCGUAGGUGGUUUGUUAAGUUGGAAGUGAAAGCCCCGGGCUCAACCUGGGAACUGCUUUCAAAACUGGCAAGCUAGAGUAUGGCAGAGGGUGGUGGAAUUUCCUGUGUAGCGGUGAAAUGCGUAGCUAUAGGAAGGAACAUCAGUGGCGAAGGCGACUACCUGGACUGAUACUGACACUGAGGUGCGAAAGCGUGGGGAGCAAACAG